rnacentral:rRNA from 1 species
UACAGAGGGGGCAAGCGUUGUUCGGAAUUACUGGGCGUAAAGGGCGCGUAGGCGGCCUUCUAAGUCGAACGUGAAAUCCCCGGGCUCAACCCGGGAACUGCGUCCGAUACUGGAAGGCUUGAAUCCGGGAGAGGGAUGCAGAAUUCCAGGUGUAGCGGUGAAAUGCGUAGAUAUCUGGAGGAAUACCGGUGGCGAAGGCGGCAUCCUGGACCAAUACUGACGCUGAGGAGCGAAAGCCAGGGGAGCAAACGGG